CCCCUCCUGCACCCGCUCGUUCCUGGCUGUUGUGACCUUGUGUAACCCUCGAUGUUCUUCCACUCCAUGCUCCGCGCUCACAUAGUUUCUAACAAUUCUUCCGUGUAGCUCUUAAUGUUCUUUCACUCCAUGCUCCACACUCACAUAGUCUCUAAUGAUUCUUCUGUGUAGCUCCUUACAUUCCCCCGCUCUGUGUUCCGCACUCACAUAGUCUCUAACAAUUCUUCCAUGUAGCUCUCAAUGAUUCCCCCACUCCAUGUUCUGCACUCACAUAACUUCUAACAAUUCUUAUGCAUACUCCUUAAUAUUCUUCUGCUUCACACUCCACUGUGGAGCAGCUUCUGAUAUUCUUCCACCCUGAACUUUCCCCUAUAAGAACCCCCUUCAUACAACCUUUUCUUCUGAUUUUCUUUCUCUUUCUUUCCUUAAUCAAUUUGUAAUCUGUAAUUAGAAUAGUAUCAAAUCAU
rnacentral:sRNA from 1 species